CUCUCCAAGGUGAUAAUGUACAGGUACAAAUUCACAGGUAGUUACACACACAGUUAUAUAGAUGCAGGUAGAUGUACAGGUAAUUACACAGGUACAAACCUACAGGUAAUUACACAGGUACAAAUCUACAGGUAGAUGUACAGGUAAUUACACAGGUACAAAUCUACAGGUAGAUGUACAGAUAAUUACACAUGUACAAAUCUACAGGUAGAUGUACAGGUAAUUACACAGGUACAAAUCUACAGGUAGAUGUACAGGUAAUUACA